UACAGAGGUCCCAAGCGUUGUUCGGAUUCACUGGGCGUAAAGGGUGCGUAGGUGGUCGGGUAAGUCUGAUGUGAAAUCUCCGGGCCUAACCCGGAAACUGCAUCGGAUACUAUUCGGCUAGAGGGUUGGAGGGGGGACUGGAAUACUUGGUGUAGCAGUGAAAUGCGUAGAUAUCCAGUGGAACACCAGUGGCGAAGGCGAGUCCCUGGACAACUCCUGACACUGAGGCACGAAAGCUAGGGGAGCAAACAGG
rnacentral:rRNA from 1 species